UGGGGAAUAUUGCGCAAUGGGGGGAACCCCUGACGCAGCCAUGCCGCGUGAAUGAAGAAGGCCUUUAGGGUUGUAAAGUUCUUUCGGUAUUGAGGAAGGUUGAUGUGUUAAUAGCACAUCAAAUUGACGUUAAAUACAGAAGAAGCACCGGCUAACUCCGUGCCAGCAGCCGCGGUAAUACGGAGGGUGCGAGCGUUAAUCGGAAUAACUGGGCGUAAAGGGCACGCAGGCGGUUAUUUAAGUGAGGUGUGAAAGCCCCGGGCUUAACCUGGGAAUUGCAUUUCAGACUGGGUAACUAGAGUACUUUAGGGAGGGGUAGAAUUCCACGUGUAGCGGUGAAAUGCGUAGAGAUGUGGAGGAAUACCGAAGGCGAAGGCAGCCCCUUGGGAAUGUACUGACGCUCAUGUGCGAAAGCGUGGGGAGCAAACAGGAUUAGAUACCCUGGUAGUCCACGCUGUAAACGCUGUCGAUUUGGGGGUUGGGGUUUAACUCUGGCGCCCGUAGCUAACGUGAUAAAUCGACCGCCUGGGGAGUACGGCCGCAAGGUUA
rnacentral:rRNA from 1 species